UAUAACAAAAUAGCAAGGAAACAAUGUAUCAUAUCAGAAGUAGAAUAAUUACAUGUUACAUGACUCGGAAUACACGUGCAAAACACGUGCCGAAGAACUAGUAUAUAAAGAAAAGGAAGCUCCAAAAGGAGAAACCCUAAGCAUUCAAAUCAAAGCAAUAGAGAAGAGGAAGCUGUAUAGAUGACUCGAAAGGCAAAUCGUAUC
rnacentral:lncRNA from 1 species